rnacentral:rRNA from 1 species
GGACCCGCACAAGCGGUGGAGCAUGUGGUUUAAUUCGACGAUAAGCGAAGAACCUCACCAAGGUUUGACAUCUAGCUGCAAGGCCUGGAAACAGGUCCGCCUUCGAGGGUGCUAGACAGAUGCUGCAUGGUUGUCGUCAGCUCGUGUCGUGAGAUGUACCGUUUAGUCGGAAAACGAGCGCAACCCUGUUCUUAUGUUUCAUGUGUCAUAAGAGACUGCCCGUUUUAAAUGGGAGGAAGGUGGGAUGACGUCAAAUCAGCAUGGUUCUUACACCUUGGGCAACACACGUGCUACAAUGGGAGGUACAAAGGGACGCCAAAUCGCAAGAUGGAGCAAAUCCCUAAAAACCUCUCUCAGUUCGGAUUGAGGUCUGCAAUUCGACCUCAUGAAGUUGGAAUCGCUAGUAAUCGUGGAUCAGCUAUGCCACGGUGAAUACGUUCUCGGGUCUU